rnacentral:rRNA from 1 species
CAGUGACGAGGCGUCGUGGGUCGCCUUUAGGUGACACUACGAUGAGUGAGGUGUACAAACCCUCGCAAAUGCAAGUCGUGGGAAAGCAUGGUGCCAGCAGCCGCGGUAAUUCCAUCAUGACUAACUCAUUCUUACGGUGCUGCAGUUAAAGCGUCCGUAGCUGGCGGCCUGCCGACUCGAGGAACUCUCGACGCCCAACGUAGCGAGCGCGGUGAGCUGCAGCGAGUUACGGCAUUAACUACUAUCGCUAUAGGACAGGGGAAGGCUCCUUCUAUUAUAGGGGGACAGGUGAAAUAGGAUGAUGCCUAUAGGAGGAUCAAGUGCGCAGGCACUGAGUCGUCCCCGGUUCGUUGGUCAAGGGCGUUAUCGUGGGGCUAGACGAUGAUUAGAGACCGUUUUACUCCACGUCGUAAACGAUGCUACCUCGCUGUGCGCUGUUCAAACACGUGCUUAGCGAAGAGAAAUCGAAGUGUACGACCCCUGGGGGGAGUAUGCUCGCAAGGGUGAAACUUGAAAGUAUUGACGGAAAGAUACCACCAGACGUGGAGUCUGCGGCUUAAUUUGACUCAACGCGCCAAUCUUACUAGACCCAGAUGCUUUACUGUACGUCAGACUGAGAGAUCUUACAUGAAUGAGCAGGUGGUGGUGCAUGGCCGCUCUUAGUUCGUGGUGUGAACUGUCUGCUUCAUUGCGUUAACGAGCGAGAUGGACUUGUGGAUUAAUUUCCAUGGAUCGCCAGUGAAGAGCUGGAUGAGAGUGUCCGCGCUAGCAGGUCUGUGAUGCCCUUAAACACUCUAGGCCGCACGCGUACUACAAUGGUACGGGCAAAGUCUCGCUGGGUAGGAAUGCCAAGCUAUACCGAACCCGUAUCGUGGUUGGGACUGCAGGUUGGAAUUCUCCUGCACGAACGAGGAAUGUCUAGUAGGCCUGCAUCAUUAUUGCAAGCCGACUACGUCCCUGUCUUUUGUACACACCGCCCGUCGCUCCUACCGAUCCGGCACUUUAGUUGAGUUGCAAGGAGCGUUUACUAACUGUUGACGUGAAUUGUCGCGAAGCUGCAGUGCUAGAGGAAGGAGAAGUCGUAAC